CAAAGACAGACGGUCUAUAAUGUAAACUGGUGCCAUUUAGAGAUGUACAAUUUCAAAAUAACCUUCCUUAAGUACCUUGGAGUUGAUUUAUUAUCAUCUCGACACUGAUGGACGGUCUGUGUACUGGUGCAGUUGAGGCAGCUCACAUGACAACACCAGUGGAAAGUACAGUGACAUCUUUCUGUGACCUGUUCCAUUCGAGUCUUGUAUCCCCGUCCGCAGCACAGCAGCUCGCACCCAUCCAGUGCCGGCGAUGAACUGUUGCAGGUUGGUCAGAUACCGCAGAUCUCUGCCCCUCUCACUGGAAUCUACGAACUCUCGCCCGAACAUCCUGCCAAAUUCCACAUUGUCGCUGCAGCCUCCCCAGUGCCAGUCUGGCCCUCCAGGACCCCGGCGCCGGUAGUCGCAGGUGCAGGACUCAAUGGCUCCCUCAGAGCAGGACCGAGCCACGGCAUGAGUAACACCAGCACUUGUUAUGGCAAACACAAAUGCAGUCUCACGGCAACCUAACAAAACAAUAAGCACAACUUAGAAUCUCUACCAUGCUGUGUCUCCAUACAGAAAAUAUUAAUGUGUAAUUCUAUAUUCUCCUGUUUCACUGUAUGAGAUAUGAAUAGUGUGCGUUGUUCAAAGCUUUCAUAAUGUCACUCUGAGAAGCCAUGCUCACCUCGGUUGACAAUUUUGCCAAAGACGUUGGGGCUGUGGGUGGUCGGACAGUUCCAGCGGCGGUUACGAAACUGCCAUUUGCAUUCCUUGAUGGCUGUAUGCAGGCCUGCUGCAAUGGCGUGCAAGAUGCCCGGGUUUUG